GCCCGGAGAUGGGGGCUGAGACACGGCCCCAGGCCCUACGGGGCGCAGCAGGCGCGAAAACUCCGCAAUACGCGCAAGCGUGACGGGGGAACCCCAAGUGCCUCAUCUUUUUGGUGAGGCUUUUUCAGAGUGUAAACAGCUCUGAGAAUAAAAGCGGGGUAAGACCGGUGCCAGCCGCCGCGGUAACACCGGCCGCUCAAGUGGUGACCGCUAUUAUUGGGCCUAAAGCGUCCGUAGCCGGUUCGGUAAGUCCCUGGGUAAAUCCUGCCGUUUAACGGUAGGAAUUCUGGGGAUACUGCCGGACUCGGGGUCGAGAGAAGUCGGAGGUACUCCGGGGGUAGCGGUGAAAUGCUGUAAUCCUCGGGGGACCACCAGUGGCGAAGGCGUCCGACUAGAGCGGGCCCGACGGUGAGGGACGAAAGCCAGGGGAGCGAACGGGAUUAGAUACCCCGGUAGUCCUGGCCGUAAACGCUGUGGGCUAGGUGUUGCAUGCUCUACGAGGGCAUGCAGUGCCGUAGAGAAGUUGAUAAGCCUACCGCCUGG
rnacentral:rRNA from 1 species